UACGUAGGGGGCAAGCGUUGUCCGGAUUUAUUGGGCGUAAAGAGCGUGUAGGCGGCCAUUCAGGUCCGUUGUGAAAACUGGAGGCUCAACCUCCAGACGUCGACGGAAACCGUAUGGCUAGAGUCCGGAAGAGGAGAGUGGAAUUCCUGGUGUAGCGGUGAAAUGCGCAGAUAUCAGGAAGAACACCAAUGGCGAAGGCAGCUCUCUGGGACGGUACUGACGCUGAGACGCGAAAGCGUGGGGAGCGAACAGG
rnacentral:rRNA from 1 species